rnacentral:lncRNA from 1 species
GUCUAUGCUAUUUAUGACAAUUUUCAUGGUUCAGUGGUUAUAGUUAAGUUUUUGUGUUUUGGUCUGUUUUUCUCAUACUUUAUGCAAUAGGUCUACUAUAUUUGUUGUAUGAAAUGAUUGUAAGGUGUACAUGUCUAGUGGGAUGAUGUCAUCUGACCUUGACCUCAUUUUCAUGGUUCAGUGGUCAAAGUUAAGUUUUUGAGUUUUGGUCUUUAUCUAUUAAAUACUAUAAGCCAUAGGUCAACUGUAUUUGGUGUAUAGAAAUAUUUUAUGAUCUAUAUGUCAGCAUGGUCAGUGGCGCAGGUUUUAUUUGACCUUGAUCUCAUUUUCACGGUUCAUUGAUCAGUGUUUUUGUGAUUUGGUCUAUUUUUCUUAAACUAUAAGUAAUAGGUCAACUAUAAUUGUUGCAUUGAAGCAUUGUUAGCUGUAUAUGUCUGCCUGGCAUGGUUCAUCUGACAUUGACCUCAUUCUCAUGGUUCAUUAGUCUUUAUUUAUUUAUCUUGGUUAAUGUUAAGUUUAUGUGACAGUUGUGAUAAAGCUUUAUACUUAGGACUAUCAACAUAUUAUCAAUGAUUAGUAAAAGAAGGCGAGACAUUUCAGCGUGUGCACUCUUCUUAUUAAACACACAUUAAUAUACA